rnacentral:rRNA from 1 species
UACCAGCACCCCGAGUGGUCGGGACGAUUAUUGGGCCUAAAGCAUCCGUAGCCGGUUCUACAAGUCUUCCGUUAAAUCCACCUGCUUAACAGAUGGGCUGCGGAGGAUACUAUGGAGCUAGGAGGCUGGAGAGGCAAGCGGUACUUAGUGGGUAGGGGUAAAAUCCGUUGAUCCAUUGAAGACCACCAGUGGCGAAGGCGGCUUGCCAGAACGCACUCGACGGUGAGGGAUGAAAGCUGGGGGAGCAAACCGG